UAGACUAUAACUCUCCAAACCCUAAAGGGGUAAUACGACUACUACCCACCACUCCACCAGCCCACCCAGAGACCAGAGUCCCAGACUGCUCAGCCACUCUUUCCCUCAGCCCCUCGAGGCCUCGAAGGCUUGAGGCUCGAACCGAGCCCUUUCUCUCAGACUCAAUCACUCAAACCCUCUCCGGCUCUCGAUUCGAUUCAAACCCAGAACUCUUCGAUUUGAUUUGAUUCGAUUCGAGGCCUCGAAGGCUUGAAGUUCGAUUCGAUAAAAGCUUCAAACCCAGAAAAUCUCGUAUCUAAUCAGAGAUUCAUGGCCUACGGCCGAAGUUCGAUUCGAUUCUAACCUAGAACUCUUUGCCUCUCGACCUCUCCUUUGAAGUUCGAUUCGAUUCAAAGCUUCAAACCCAGAAAUCUCGUAUCAAUUCAUUCGAUUCAUGGCCUACGGCCGUUAAUCACUUAAUCUCAAGUGGAAUCAGUCUCUUUGAAGUGGAAUCUUGAUUUUUUACUUGUAUAUGAACAGGAGGACCGAGGACUAAGAAAGCAAAGUGACUGCACAACUGAAGGUGUUGCUCCAAUCUCAACAAUUCAAGAGGUUUAGGAGCACAGCAUUUGGUUGGUUUGGAGAAAGAGGCUAG